UGUUCCUCAUUGGUCCGGUGGCGGCCGAGGGUGUUUUGAUUGGUUGAGGGUGGAGUUUGUAUCUACGGGUUUAGCGCCACUCCGCUGACUGCAGCUGCUCUGAGCGUGCAGUUUGGGUGGGCUCACGCGUUUUCAGGGUAGAGAAGUCUUGCUCAAAAAGCUGCAGGAGGACACAGCCCAGCUGAGCUUGUUAUUAGAGCAGCACGCCCUGAAGUGGCAGAGAGCCCUGGAAACACCUCCCUGGUGUACUUUAAGGAAAACUCAUCAGGACUAUCGCUUCUGGAAAGCUGUGUAAAUGCAAUAAUCAGUAGUGUGUUAACGACAGCUACUGGUUUGGGAGGGAUAGAAACUGUGAAUACUGCUUUGAUGAGCCCCUGCUGAAAAGAACCGAUAAGUAUCGGACUUACAGCAAGAAGCACUUUCGAAUCUUCAGAGAAAUGGGUCCUAAAAACUCUUACAUCGCAUACAUAGAAGAUCACAGUGGGAAUGGAACCUUUGUAAAUAGAGAGCUUGUAGGGAAAGGAAGACGCCUUCCUUUGAAUAACAAUUCUGAAAUUGCACUUUCAGUGUGGAGUAAUAAAGUUUUUGUAUUUUUUGAUCUGACUGUAGAUGAUCAGUCAGUUUAUCCAAAGGAAUUAAGAGACGAAUACAUCAUGUCGAAAACUCUUGGAAGCGGUGCCUGUGGUGAGGUGAAACUAGCUUUUGAGAGGAAAACUUGUAAGAAAGUAGCCAUAAAGAUCAUCAGCAAAAGGAAGUUUGCUAUUGGCUCUGAGAGAGAGGCAGAUCCAGCACUCAAUGUUGAAACAGAAAUAGAAAUUUUGAAGAAACUAAAUCACCCUUGUAUCAUCAAGAUUAAAGACUUUUUUGAUGCUGAAGAUUAUUACAUCGUUUUGGAAUUGAUGGAAGGAGGAGAGCUGUUUGACAGGGUGGUGGGGAAUAAACGCCUGAGAGAAGCAACCUGCAAACUCUAUUUUUACCAGAUGCUCCUGGCUGUUCAGUACCUUCACGAAAAUGGCAUCAUACAUCGGGACUUAAAGCCAGAGAAUGUUCUACUCUCAUCUCAAAAAGAGGACUGUCUUAUAAAGAUUACUGAUUUUGGGCAGUCCAAGAUUUUGGGAGAGACCUCUCUCAUGAGAACCUUAUGUGGUACCCCCACCUACCUGGCUCCCGAGGUUCUUAAUUCCUUGGGAACUGCCGGAUAUAACCGUGCUGUGGACUGCUGGAGUUUAGGAGUUAUUCUUUUCAUUUGCCUUAGUGGGUAUCCACCUUUCUCUGAGCAUAAGAGUCAAGUGUCACUGAAGGAUCAGAUCACCAGUGGAAAAUACAACUUCAUUCCUGGAGUCUGGGCAGAAGUCUCAGAGAAGGCUCUGGACCUUGUCAAGAAGUUGUUGAUAGUGGAUCCAAAGGCACGUUUUACGACAGAAGAAGCUUUAAGACAUCCAUGGCUUCAGGAUGAGGACAUGAAGAGAAAAUUUAAGAAUUUGCUUUUUGAAGAAGACAAGUCCACAGCUCUGUCUCAGGUUCCAGCCCAGCCUUCUACAAGUCGAAAGCGGCAUCUUGAGGGGGAUACAGAGGAUGCUGAGCCCACAAAGCACCUGGCUGUGUGUGCUGCUGUCUUGUGAACACCGGGUGACCAUGAAAAGAAUGUACCUUCUUGAACUCUGCUGCCAUUUCCUUUAAAUCUGUUUUUUAUACUUUGUAUUUCCAUUAUAGGAAUAGUUGUUUUUCCACGAUCAUCAAUAUACAAUUGAAAACAAAUGGAACCCAGGCUUUGUGCUUCUGCUUGUUUUUGUUUUUGUUUUGGCCACACUUGUGGCAUGUGGAAUUUCCCAGGCCAGGGAUUGAACCCAAGCUGCUGCAGUGACAAUGCUGGAUCCUUAAAUCACUGCACCACAAGGGAACUCUUGUGCUUUUGCUUGUUGACUAGCUCUUAGUUACAUGCCUUUAGUGUGUGUGUAUGUGAAGUUGCUGUGUGCCUUUGGUGCUUUUACCUUGGCUAUAAUCAGGCAGGUUUCUUAGGAUGCACCCCUGGUCUCAGCCUAAGUGAACCUCAUACAGAUUCUGAAGGCCCCUUAAAAAGUUGUACGGGGAAGGGGUACAGUGACUUGGGGUGGAGUUUGUAUCCACUGGCUGGAUGCCAGAGUCCUCAGAAGACAGUAUACCAUGGGUCAGUUUUAGAGUCCUAUCCUCACCCUCAUUAUCCUUGAAAUAACAGGGACAGAUACAUUGUAAAAUUCAAAAAUUUCCUUAGUUUAGGAAGAGGACCAGGCACAUGGACUGUGUUGUGUGUAAUAUCCAGCUGAGUCCUAAAACCAAACACUAAUUUUUCUGCAACAAAUAUUCAAAGUAGUUGGGAUAGAGAAAACUAAGUAGCCUCAUGGCACUUCAGGUCCAUCUUCUACCAUGUCGGUUAUGGGGGACACUCAGGUUUCAGAGCUAUUUGGAUUUUGGAAAUGCCCCUAUAACCUUAUGUUAUAGGUGAGGAACCCAGGCUGAAGGAGUAAGGUGACUUAUCCAACAUCAUACAACUAGGAAGUGGCAGACCUGGGACCCAACCCAGGGUUUUCCGACACAAAUUCAUGUUCCUCAUCUCCUUCCCAUAUUUAGUCAGACUCACAGAUGUUGACUCACACUGACAAAACUCACAUAAGACUGAUGUCUAAAUAUUGAAUACCAGUAUGUUCAAUCAUGAUGAAUGAGUACAACCUAUGAUCUGUGUUAGUUGGAACAUCUUGGUGGCAAGGAACAGAGGCCCAUUCAAUUACUAUAUGGAAAAGGGGAUUUGUUUCAUUGUUACAGACGGCUGGGCCUGGGAGCAGGAGCGUAGACAGUUCUACUGACUGGCUCCUCUUGUCUCCUUCUGACCCACUGAUUUUGCUUCUCUUGCAACUUUGGCUGGCUGACACUAGGCCACAUUGUAGCUUGUUGACCAUGCCAUGAGUUGAGUGCCUUGGUUCAGAUGCCAGUGGGUGAGCCAGCCAGGAUAGGGUGAGCACAUAGUUGUUGCCCCAGGCAUUAAGGGUGGUGGUUGGCAAUUUCCAUUAGAAGGGUGCGCAAGCUUUCUGAGGCUUGGCUGGCCCAUUACUUAGGGCUUGAUGGGAUUUAGGUGGUUUGCAUAUUUAAAGGAAUGAGGCUGAGAUUGCCAAGUUAGAUGGGUUUUAGCUCAUUUGAAUAUUUAAUGUGAAGGCUGUGGUUUCUUAGGGCCUCUUUCCCUCUUGGGGCAGAGUCAGCCAGCCCUUCUGUUUCCAGAGCACUUUGUAUUAGGUCCCUCUGAUUAUACCUACUAGAGUGGGAUAAAUAAUGACCUCUAAAGAUAUUCUCAUCCCAAUCCCCAGAAUUUAUGAGCAUGUUCUUUUACAUGGCACAAGAGAUUUUGUGGGUGUGAUUAAGUGAAGGAUCUUGGGAUCUGUUUUAUCAAGGUGGACUCAAUAUCAUCACAAUGUUCCUUUCAAGAGGGACACAGGAAGAGGCAGAGUCAGAAGAGAUGGAGUGGUGCUCUUUGAAAACAGGAAGAGGCCAUCAACCAAGGAAUAUAGGCAGCUAUUAGACGCUGACAAAAAGCAAGGAAAUGGAUUCUCCCUCAGAGCCUGCUGAGGAACCAGUCCUUUCCUUUACACCUUGACUUUCACAAAAUGAAACUGAUUUCAGACUUCUGACCCACAAAACUUUAAGAGAAUAAAUUGUGUUGUUUUAAGCCACCCAAUUUGUGAUAAUUUGUUACAGCAGCCAUAGGAAACUAAUCAUAAAUGGAGAGACAUCAGUUGCUGGUUUGAGGCCAUCCAGCAUUGAUUCUUUUCCUUAACCUCAAACUCCAGUUUUCUUUUGGGGGAAUUAUUUUUCUUUUUUCCACAAUGUCAUAGGGGGAGGGGGAGAUUGUAAACCUAAGUGCCUGUCUGCAUCCCCCCCACUAUAGAAGCUAAAAGGGUCCAUAGAGGCUCCUCCCUGGUAGGGCCCCUUCCACUGACCACCCAGCUGGAGGUGGGCACAGGACUUUGAAAUGUGAGCAAAUGCAGCUAGGAUGGCAACAUUAGUGGUAGGAACAAUAUUGUGCUAAUCUCAGCUCUCUGUACUCCCUGACUUUGGCUUUGGACAAGUUACUUCAAGUUGCUGAGCUUCUAUUUCCUUAUCUAUAAAAUGAGUGCAAUAAGAGUAUCAAUUUAAUAUGGUGUUUCUGAGGGAAUCUAUGGUGGGAAUUUCACUUAAAGUGCCUGGUAGAGGAUUUGUCAAUGUUGGCCUCCAUCAUUAAAGGUGGGAGGGUCACAUAAAUAGCCCGAGGGAGCCAUAGAAAAUUCUUGAGUGGGGAGUUAACAUCAUCUGUUUAGCUUUUUAGGGUUUUUACAAAGCAGAUCUGGGAAACUCUAGGCCUGGGGUGGGUGGUGGGAGCAGAGGUGGGGGGUGCAUUGCCCAGUGACUCACGUAACUGCCACUCCCUUCUGAAGAACAGGCAUAUUGCUCUGAAGUGGACCUGCUGUGCCUAGAUGAUGGUGCAGUAGAUAGCUCUUAUUUGGGUCAGUCCUGAACCUGAUGCCUCUUACACUGAUUGCAACCCUAUUUUUCUGGGGGAGGCAUUCCUCCUUCCACUUGCCCCCAACCCAAGUCCUGGUGAGGCUGACCCCACUUGUAGAGAGGCUCCUUACAGUCAAAUCUGGCCAAUCUUGCUGUGACUGGCCCAGGCAGGUGCACGUGACCAAAAUGAAUGCAGUGAAAGUCAACCCAAGACUGGCUGGAACUGCAGGGAAACAGCUCCAGCUUUCCUGGUCAGAUAUGAGCUAGGAGCUGCCUGGGACACUGGAGAGAACUGCAUGAGAAUGAAGUCAUCAGUGAGGGAGGCAAAGCUUAGAGAAACUGUAGACAGAUAGAGGUUAUUGUUUGAGCACCUGGCUCCAAAUGCCUGAAGUAAGGUUCCAGCCCCAGGAUUUUUUCAGUAUGUUCCUUUUAUUGUUUUAUUCUGGGUUGAGUUUUUAAAAUCAAAAAAAAGUUUUUUGUUUUUUUUUUUUUUUUUUUUUUGGAAAAGGCCAGACUAAUAAACAAUUUUACAAAUUCCAAGAGACCCCUGGAUACUCUUUUUCUUUUCUUUUUUUUUUUAAGUAGGGAAAACAUUCUCUGCUGUUGUUUUUGUGCCAGCUUUAGGGUUUUCAGAGAGGUUUGGGGCAGAGAAUGGAAAGUGAAGAUGUGGGAAGUAACAAUCUAUCCAGCCCCACAGCUGAGUGAACCCCCUCCCAGCUAAUUAUACCACAGGAUUUGGGAGCAGAGCCCCCUUCAUUAAACUUUCAGGAGUCUUGGAAGGAUAGGGCUGGAAUUACACCAUCGAAGCUUGGAGAGUUUGGUGUGUGCCAGGCAUUGUGCUCAGAGACCUUAUGUGCCUCAUCUGAGAGCUCACCUCAAGCCUGUGAGGUAUUACUACAACUCCUCCCUUUGUACUUUGUAGACUCAGAGAUCAGGGCUCUCUGGCUCUGUCAAGUCACCUGCUCCCAGUUUAUGAGUGGUGGAGGCAAGACUUGAACCGAAAAUUUCUCUUUUCAAGAGGCCGUUCCCCCCCCACCCCCGCCCCGGUCUUUUUAGGGCCGCACUCAUGGCCUAUGGAAGUUCGCAGGCUAGGGGUUGAAUUGGAGCUACAGCUGCCGGCCUGCACCACAGCCACAGCAACGCCAGACUGAAGCCGUGGCUGCAGCCUACACCACGCUCACAGCAACGCCGGAUCUUUAACCCACUGAAUGAGGCCAGGGAUCGAUCCUGCCACCUCAUAGUUCCUAGUUGGAAUCGUUUACUGCUGCGCCACGAGGGGAACUCCAAGCCUUGGGUUUUAAUCAUAAAAAAAAGUUACCUAAAUCUUGUCACCAGCUUACCACAAUAUUGACACUUUAGCUGGAUUAUUUUAAGUCCUCCCGAUAGCACUCCUUAGUUGUCCGACUUCCUAAUUAAGGAGAAAAAGGCUGCUGGAGACCUGACCUUAAUCAUGCAAAGGUUAGCGGAGUUGCAGGACUUGAACUCGAGUUCCCCAUUGCGUCUGGCUUCCCGGGGAUAUGAACAUCAUCUGUGCCACUAAGACUGGCGCACGUGUUCACACACCUCCAGGAUGAGAUCUCAUCGCCUCAGCGGCUUCUUCACACCAGCACUUCUUGCGGGUAAUUUCCUUUUGGCCCAUCCUGUCGCCCCAAGCCCAAGCAGGUAAACAAAAAGCAGGAGUGCCGGGUAGCAGCUCAAGGGUUUUGCCCCGCAUGGUCCGCAAGACUCCAGGCGGCAGCGCCCAGCCCAGAACCGCUAGCGCUCAGGCCUAGACUGGGCCGAUGCGGAGGGCGUUGGCGCGACUCUGGGAACAGCGGAUGGCUCCCGAGGGCGCGGGGAGGGGGCUAGCGAGUGCGCGCGUGCGCGGUCGGGGGGGGCCGCGGAGGCGCGCGGGGAGCGUGCGCGGCGGGGGGUGGUGUGAGCUGCCGCGGCCGCGCGCGGCACGGCGGGAACAUGGCGCGCGGAGCCGGCGCGCGCGCCUAGCUGGCGGGACCGUUAGCUCGAGGCGGACGCGGCCCGGGUCCCGCGGCGAUGGAGCAGUCGCUGCCGCCGGCGCCUGAGCCCAUUCCGGGGUCAACCCUGGUACGGAGCCAAAGGCACCGGGAGCCCGAGUCGCCUCCGGCGCCGGCGCCGAUUCCUCUCUUUGGUGCUAAGACUGUUGGCCAGAGAAGUCCUGAUGGACCAAUGCUGAGCAAAGCUGAAUUUGUUGAGAAAGUUCGUCAGAGUAAUCAGGCCUGUCAUGAUGGAGAUUUCCACACAGCUAUUGUUCUGUACAAUGAAGCCCUGGCUGUUGACCCUCAGAACUGCAUCUUAUACAGCAAUAGAUCUGCAGCCUAUAUGAAAAUCCAGCAGUAUGACAAGGCACUGGAUGAUGCAAUCAAAGCUCGACUUCUCAAUCCCAAAUGGCCAAAGUUUUUCACAGGGGGAGAAGAAUGGAGUGAAACUCCCACAUCUUGAAGGUGGAUAUUGUAUAACAUUGCAAGGAGGACAAGGAAGCAAGGAUAAGAGUCAUAAAUUGCAGCUGGAAGCUUGGAACUGAUUCCUUUACUCUGCAGUAGCUCGGAAAGGAUUCGGCUCCAAGUUUAAUGAACAAUGAAACAUGAUCUGAAGAAUUCUAUGCAAGAAAUACUCUGUUGCCUGGUUCUUCAUGACUUCUAGUAAUUUUAACUUCUGCUCUACAGGAGCAGCAGUGCUCUUUGUUCACCUUCUCAAGAUGAGCUUUUAAAAUAAAAGUUGGGACUUUUUCCUCAAA